AUGGGGGCACGAAGGAGGGAUUCUACGGGUGUCAUUGCAUCCCGCGGCGUGUGCAUGGUGCGCUGGUUGUGUGUGGCCAUGCGUGGGGCACCCCCUUAUUUAGCUCAUGCGCACCGAGCAGUCGUGGCCAUGCAUGAUGCACCUCCCGCUGAUGGGUCCUCCGUUGCUGGUACUGCAGGUGGAUCCAAUCUGGGUCCACGCGGGCCUGCAGCCAUUCUACUAGGUGGUGGUGUGGAUCCCCUUCUCUUCGACGCGAUGGCAUCCACAUGGUGGAUCUUGCCAUCGUUGUUAUGGUCUCGGUUGGCUUGGAACCUGCAUUCUCCAGUGCCUAGAUCCCCGAUGUUCCUCCCGUCCAAUGUUCGCGCUUCCGGUGGCAUAGCCCCCCUUCUUGCGAUGGCGGCAUCAGCUUAUGACAUGUUCAUGUCUUUGGAUCCAGUCCAACGCUUUGGGAUUGUUCGGACAUUUGCCAACACAAAAUCCCUGCUUGAUGCUGACAGAGCAACACUUGCAGGUGCCAUCCCCUUCCUGGAGGCACUGCCAAGGCCUAUUCUCCGAGCGCUAAGGGAAACCCCAGAUCUAGUUCCUCAGCUUCUGCUUGGGCCGAGCACAACAUGUCUCCCUGCUUCGAGCACCAUGUUUACGUCAUCUUUGGUUGUGCUAUGUGAUGUAUCCCUCUAUGUUCUCACUUCAACUGCUUCUAUACCAAUGAAAGAUACACACUUGUCGUCUUUCCCACGGGCUCAUCUCCGCAGCUCGUCAACGAGCCCCGCCGCCAUUAGCAUCACGGGUGUCCCACGUGAGCACCAGGUGUCGGUGUGGAGCAGCCUGCUGGGUGCGUGUCGGAUGCACCAGAAUGUGGAGCUUGGCGAGAUCGCCGCCGAGUGGCUCUUCGAGCUGGAGCUCGGCGAGGCCAGCCACUGUGUGCUCCUCUACAACAUCUACUCCGCCGUCGGGAUGUGGGAGAAGCCGGUUGCGGAGCCCGGGUGCAGCUGGGUCGAGCUCAACAGCGCGAUCCAACAGUUCAUGGCCGGCGAGUCGUCCUUGUCCCACCCGGCAAGCGCCGAGGUGCACGCGCACAUGGACACGCUUUGGGAGCUGAUGCGGUGCGAGGGGUACGCGCCCGACUGGUCGUGCGUGCUCCACGACGUCGACAAGGCCAGAAGGUGGCCAUGCUCCAGUACCACAGCGAGAACCUCGCCAUCCCCUUCGGGCUACUACGGGCGCCGCCCGAUGCGGCCAUCAAGGUGGCCAAGAACCUGA
rnacentral:rRNA from 1 species